ACGGGUGAGUAACACGUAAGGAACCUGCCCCAAGGAUUGGGAUAACUCCGAGAGAUCGGAGCUAAUACCGAAUAGUUCUUCAGACCGCAUGGUCUGAUGAUGAAAGGCGCUCCGGCGUCACCUUGGGAUGGCCUUGCGGUGCAUUAGCUAGUUGGUGGGGUAACGGCUCACCAAGGCGACGAUGCAUAGCCGACCUGAGAGGGUGAUCGGCCACACUGGGACUGAGACACGGCCCAGACUCCUACGGGAGGCAGCAGUAGGGAAUCUUCCACAAUGGACGAAAGUCUGAUGGAGCAACGCCGCGUGAGUGAUGAAGGUUUUCGGAUCGUAAAACUCUGUUGUAAGGGAAGAACAAGUACGAGAGGUAAUGCUCGUACCUUGACGGUACCUUGCGAGAAAGCCACGGCUAACUACGUGCCAGCAGCCGCGGUAAUACGUAGGUGGCAAGCGUUGUCCGGAAUUAUUGGGCGUAAAGCGCGCGCAGGCGGCCUUUUAAGUCUGAUGUGAAAGCCCCCGGCUCAACCGGGGAGGGUCAUUGGAAACUGGAAGGCUUGAGUACAGAAGAGA
rnacentral:rRNA from 1 species